GGCAUUGCGCGCUGUGGCUUAGUUGGUUAAAGUGCCUGUCUUGUAAACAGGAGAUCCUGGGUUCAAAUCCCAGCAGUGCCU